rnacentral:rRNA from 1 species
GGCGCAUUAGCUAGUUGGUGGGGUAAUGGCCUACCAAGGCGACGAUGCGUAGCCGACCCAGGCUAAAAGCCUUGAGAUGUGAUGUUAGUGGCCCGCUGUUGGCAGCCGGUACUGAAUACAGAAACAAAGCGAUCGCUCUUUGAAAAAAAGGGCGAUCGCUUUGUUAUUUGUCAUAUCAUUUCUGGUUACACCGGAAUGAUGUUGACUGUUGACUGUUGACAGUGAACAGUGAACAGUGAACAGUGAACUCGAAUUUACUAUUCUGAUGCUAACGGAUUUGAUCUCAGUUGAC